UACGUAGGUGGCGAGCGUUGUCCGGAAUUACUGGGUGUAAAGCGCGUGUAGGCGGCAGGCCAAGUCGGUGGUGAAAGCGCCCGGCUCAACUGGGCGAGGUCCAUGGAAACUGGUCAGCUGGAGGACGGUAGAGGCGAGUGGAAUUCCCGGUGUAGUGGUGAAAUGCGCAGAUAUCAGGAAGAACACCCGUGGCUAAGGCGGCUCUCUAGUACGGUACUGACGCUGAGACGCGAAAGCGUGGGGAGCGAACAGG
rnacentral:rRNA from 1 species